GACGAACGCUGGCGGCGUGCUUAACACAUGCAAGUCGAACGGGCCUUGUCCCCCUUUUUUGGGGGUGGGGUUAGUGGCGAACGGGUGAGUAACACGUGAGUAACCUGCCCCUCACUUCUGGAUAACCGCUUGAAAGGGUGGCUAAUACGGGGUGUUCUGGCCUGCUCGCAUGGGUGGGUUUGGAAAGAUUCGACCGGUUUUGGUUGUUUUGGUGGGGGAUGGGCUCGCGGCCUAUCAGCUUGUUGGUGGGGUGAUGGCCUGCCAAGGCUUUGACGGGUAGCCGGCCUGAGAGGGUGGGCGGUCACACUGGGACUGAGACACGGCCCAGACUCCUACGGGAGGCAGCAGUGGGGAAUAUUGCACAAUGGGCGCGAGCCUGAUGCAGCGACGCCGCGUGAGGGAUGGAGGCCUUCGGGUUGUGAACCUCUUUCGCCAGUGAAGAAGGUCCUGCUCUUUGUGGUGGGGUUGACGGUAGCUGGGUUAAUGAAGCGCCGGCUAACUACGUG
rnacentral:rRNA from 1 species